rnacentral:lncRNA from 1 species
AAGCAGCACAGAAGAGGGGGAAGGGAGAUUUAGAUACAUUUUAUCUUUAUCUUUAGUUCUGAUAGGAUAUGGCUCACACAUCCCAAACCCUAACCCUGCUUAAUCUCCUUACUUGUGGGGAAUUCAGCUACAUCUAAAUGUUUAUGUGCUGCUGAUGGUGGCAGGGGACAUCUGUUUCAGAGAGCUCAACACUGAGUUGGCAUUCAGCACCCUGGACUUUUGACUGUUGUUAGAGUCCAGGUGGAUCUGAUGGCUGGAGCCCCAGCAGCCACCGUGGACCUGGCAGUAACCCUGAAAAUGGAAACCAAGUACUGAGGAUGAUGGAAAAGAAAGUGCCUGAUAACUUCAUGGAAACACCGCAUCAUCUUUGGGCUGCCUCAUCCGGAAUUUUGUGUGAUGGAAGAGAUCAUUGUGUGUUUAAGCCACUAUUAUUUGGGUUUUCUAAUAUAUACAGCUAAUGCUAACCCUAACAGAAGAUAAAAUGAGCCUUUUUAGAUAAGUAUGUGUCCUGCACUGGACAGAGAGUUUCUAAGAAACAGAUAGAAGAUUCUCAAAAUUCCUAGCCAAUUGUCAAGGAGAAAAUGAAAUAACCAGUUAAUAGCUCUCUCAUCUCAGUUAUUUAGAACUGGCCAGGAUCAAGGUGUCACCAUUUAACUGGUAGCAGCUACCAGUGCUAGUACCAGCAAAGGUGACGUAGCAUCCUAGAAAAGUAAAAGCACUUUUUUUUUUGAGACAGAGUCUCGCUCUGUCGCCCAGGCUGGAGUGCAGUGGCACGAACUUGGCUCAUUGCAAGAUCUGCCUCCUGGGUUCACACCAUUCUCCUGCCUCAGCUUCCCAAGUAACUGAGACUACAGGCACCCGCCACUACACCUGGCUAAUUUUUUCUAUUUUUAGUAGAGACGGGGUUUCACUGUGUUAGCCGGGAUGGUCUCGAUCUCCUGACCUUGUGAUCCGCCCGCCUUGGCCUCCCAGAGUGCUGGGAUUACAGGCGUUAGCCACCGCGCCCAGCCAAGAGUGAAAGCAUUUUUAAAUUUUGCCUCUCCAGCUUCUUCUACUAACCAAAUUUCACAUGGUCAUUUACUAAUUAGACUCAAAGGAAACCAGCAGCUGCCUCACCAGAAGCUAAUAAAAUAUAAUGCAACUGUUCCCACUGAUUCUGGACUGGUUUGUCAAUCCAUUGACCAGGUGAGUCUGAACCAG